GAGCAGUGCAUCCCUCUCUCUGGUAAGAUACAGGAAUGGAACAAAUGCACAAAGGUCCCUCAUGUUACAUUUUGCUGUCUGGGGCUAUAAUCCCAAAAUCUUGUGACUGUGGUUCUGAAGUGGUGGUGGUGAUGAUAUUAGCUGUACUCUAUCUUUUAUUUCUGGUUUUCAGUCUUUGAAGAAAACGGAGACUAAAGCAGAAGAUUAAACCCAAGAGGUGUUCUCCUGCUGUAGGACAGGUGUUAGAAAAGCCCCUGCAUUAAGAAGUGGGGCCCUGCAGCUGCCCAAUGGCACUGUCCAUGCCCUCUGGACACAACCCCUCCAACCACAGCUUUGCUCAAUGCCUCGAGAUGCUGCUGCCAUGGAAAUAAAUACCAAGCCCUCGCCAAGCACGUGGUGGCUGCCAGCAUGACACGGAUAGGUCGGCCGAUCCCCAGCACGGUAACUGCUCUGUGAGGCGCUGGUGUUAAGCACUGCCUGAGAGCCGCCAGCCUCUGCCCUCUGUAAUGGUAACGUAAUACUUUUGAAAAGGCCUUUAAGUCCUGCCAGUACCUGUGAUGGGUGCCAAGUUUUAUUUUCGUCUGCCAGUUUGGGAAGUUUGUUAAACCUGUGACUGGGAUCAGAGCAGUGAGCCCGAAAAGCAAUCAAAGAUACAUAAUAAAUAAUAAUUAGUAUCAGUGUGUGGUGCUUAUUCAGUAUUCUUUCCUUUCAGGUCUCUGUUGGCUAGUUAGCAAACAACCAAUCCCACAUGAUGGCAGUCUAAUAUAGCGUGUACCGAUCAUCCUCCGGUUACGCAUGGCAAACUGAGCGAAUCAAGGUGACUGUGGUCUGCUGCAGAAGCCCAAGGCAUUGCCCUCCCUUGAUCCAUGGUGCCUGAAUACGAGGAGAUGCAAGAACCACAGCAGGGUGCUGGAAGAGCACUUUGGAAAAUGCUGCGACCCUAAACACAAGAAAGAGGAAAAUCCCCAGACGAUGGUGGUUGCUCGUGCAUAAGCUCCUCCAAGAAUAAAGAUGAACCCAUUGAGAGUGACU
rnacentral:lncRNA from 1 species